rnacentral:rRNA from 1 species
UACGUAGGGGGCAAGCGUUGUCCGGAUUUAUUGGGCGUAAAGGGCGCGUAGGCGGCCAGCGCAAGUCAGUUGUGAAAUCUCCGGGCUUAACUCGGAAAGGUCAACUGAUACUGCGCGGCUAGAGUGCAGAAGGGGCAACUGGAAUUCUCGGUGUAGCGGUGAAAUGCGUAGAUAUCGAGAGGAACACCUGCGGCGAAGGCGGGUUGCUGGGCUGACACUGACGCUGAUGCGCGAAAGCCAGGGGAGCGAACGGG